AAUUAUCUGUUAGCUUUUGUUUUCCUGUCACAACUUUAUGUUUAUGUGGCUAAUUGUAGCCGAAAGUUUUAUUUAUCAAUCUUAUUUUUCACAGCAUAAAUGAAACUGUGUUUCAAGAACAAGGUGCUGCUACAUCAUUCAAGGAAAUUCGUCGUAGAGGUCUUUCUCUUUACCAGAUUUCGUAGCUGAAGUUUAUGAAGUAAUCAAACCGGUGUUAACUUCUUAUAUAAAGGUAGAUUCCCAAACUUUGAAGAAACACUACAGUACUGAGGUAAUUGAAUGUUGUAAGGCAGAGCAUCGGGCUUACUAGAGCCAAGGUAUCUUCUUCGAUAACAAGGAAUAAAGGAAAAUGAAAUAUAACCAAACUUGGGAUCUUUGCAAGCAAGCUUCCAUGAAGAAACUAGGUUACAAGGGGAGGUCUUCUGUUCUCCUUUUUCUUUUUUUCUUUCCAUCCGUAGAAUCUUGCUUAAAAUGCUUUGAGGACAAUGCAAAUUUUUAAGUGGGGGGUGGAGUUGUAGCCUUGCACAUUCCAUGUCCUUUGGGAAAUUUUCAUUUUGCAAAUUUUGCUAAAAAUGUCAAAAUUUAGAAACUUUUG